GAUAUCGGAGUGCCAUCAGCCAACUACUGGGACAUAGUCGUACAGAAAAUGUUGUGUUGUUCGAUUCCAAUGUUAACUGUAAGACUGUGUCUUGGUUUCUUGGUAGCAAAUCAGCCGCAGGC
rnacentral:pre_miRNA from 1 species